GACGAACGCUGGCGGCGUGCUUAACACAUGCAAGUCGAACGGAAAGGCCCUGCUUUUGUGGGUUGCUCGAUAGGCGAACGGGUGAGUAACACGUGAGUAACCUGCCCUUGACUUUGGGAUAACUUCAGGAAACUGGGGCUAAUACCGGAUAGGAGCUCCUGCUGCAUGGUGUGGGUUGGAAAGUUUCGGCGGUUGGGGAUGGACUCGCGGCUUAUCAGCUUGUUUGUGAGGUAGUGGCUUACCAAGGCUUUGACGGGUAGCCGGCCUGAGAGGGUGACCGGCCACAUGGGGACUGAGGUACGGCCCAGACUCCUACGGUAGGCAGCAGUGGGGAAUAUUACACAAUGGGCGGAAGCCUGAUGCAGCAACGCCGCGUGCGGGAUGCCGGCCUUCGGGUUGUAAACCGCUUUCGCCUGUGACGAAGCGUGAGUGACGGUAAUGGGUAAAGAAGCACCGGCUAACUACGUG
rnacentral:rRNA from 1 species